rnacentral:rRNA from 1 species
ACCGGCAGCUCAAGUGGUGGCCAUUUUUAUUGGGCCUAAAGCGUUCGUAGCCGGUUUGAUAAGUCUCUGGUGAAAUCCCGCAGCUUAACUGUGGGACUUGCUGGAGAUACUAUUAGACUUGAGGUCGGGAGAGGUUAGGGGUACUCCCAGGGUAGGGGUGAAAUGCUAUGAUCCUGGGAGGACGACCUGUGGCGAAGGCGCGUAACUGGAACUAGCCUGACGGUGAGUAACGAUAGCCAGGGGUGCGAACCG